CAACAAUAUCUCUGCAGAAACUCUCUGCAGAAUCGCAAAUAUAAAUAUAUUCCAGGAAAGAUUUCUAAAUGGUAAUAUAAAAUUUGUCUGUAAUCAGCAGGCACUUGACUGUUAGAGGUAUGAAAGAUGUAGACUCUUAAAUUCCUGUGAGAGAUGCAUUUGUGAUGAAAAUACAAGGUACAUAAUGAAAGCUAACACUAAACUAAUUUUGGUUGUUGAUUCCCUCAUUUGCAUAUUAGUUCCAAGCUUUGCUUUGCUGUGUUCUGUGGCGGAACCUUCAACAUUAUGAUGGUGUUGAUGUCACAUAGUUCUACAUUCCGUGCAAUAUGAAUUUGAGGUGAGUUUGUGGAUUCUCCCUCAUUUGGUACCCAAAAGUUUAGCUAAACCCUCUGAAAAGACACAGUUGUUCACUUUUUCACUGUGUUCAACAAACCUGUUUAUUCAAAACUUUCAACUUGAAAUAACUCUCUUAAACAUGGACACCCACACAUUUUUGAGGAAGUCCAAGAAACGAGGCCCUCCUCUUUCUUUGAAGAAGAGCAACAUCGCUACAAAGCAGAAUUUAUGAUCAUGAAACAGCAGGAUCAAGUUCCUGAUUAUUUUUCUAGACCUAGCUGUUGACAGGAAGAAGCUUUCUGGAGAAAUUUCACGAAAUAACUGAGAGGACAGACAAAUGUGUCCGAGGAAAUACUUUCAGAUGAGGCUGUGUUGGACCUGCAUCUCUGGACUGUGAAACAUCUGUAAAUGUGGUUGGACGUGCUGCGGUGCUGCGGUAAGUGUAUUGACUCAUUUCCGUUUCUGUAUGGAAGAAAUAUAGUCCUAAAUGUAUUGUAGCUGUGUGAGAGAGUUUUGUAGUUUUGGAAAUGUUUUGUAUUUGUACAUUCAAAUGCUUGAAUGUGUGAAAAUGUUUUGUAGUUGUACAUUGAAAUGCUUGA